GAUGAACGCUGGCGGCGUGCCUAAUACAUGCAAGUCGAGCGCACGGACGAGAAGCUUGCUUCUCUGAUGUUAGCGGCGCGCGGGUGUGUGACACGUGGGUAGCAUCUCUAUACGACUUGGAUAACUUCGGGAGACCGUACCUCUUACCGGAUGAUUUUUUUAGCCGCAUGGUUCAAUAUUGUGAGACGGUCUUGCUGUCGCUUGUGGAUGGCUCCGCGCUGCAUUAGCUAGUUGGUAAGGUAUCGGCUUCCCAAGGCAACGAGGCAUAGCCGACCUGAGAGGGUGAUCGGCCAACCGGGAACAGAGACACGGACCUGACGCCCACGGGAGGCAGCAGGAGGGAAGCGUGCGCAAUGGGCGAAAGCCUGACAGAGCAACGCCGCGUGGGUGAGGAAGGUCUUCGGAUCUUAAGGCUGUGUUAUUAGGGAAGAACAGAUGUGGAAGUAACUGGGGACGUCGUGACGGUACUGAAUCAAGAAGCGACGGCUAACUACGUG
rnacentral:rRNA from 1 species